rnacentral:rRNA from 1 species
GGAAUUCGAUUAGAGUUUGAUCAUGGCUCAGAUUGAACGCUGGGGGCAUGCCUUACACAUGCAAGUCGAACGGUAACAGGUCUUCGGAUGCUGACGAGUGGCGAACGGGUGAGUAAUACAUCGGAACGUGCCCGAUCGUGGGGGAUAACGGAGCGAAAGCUUUGCUAAUACCGCAUACGAUCUACGGAUGAAAGCAGGGGACCGCAAGGCCUUGCGCGGACGGAGCGGCCGAUGGCAGAUUAGGUAGUUGGUGGGAUAAAAGCUUACCAAGCCGACGAUCUGUAGCUGGUCUGAGAGGACGACCAGCCACACUGGGACUGAGACACGGCCCAGACUCCUACGGGAGGCAGCAGUGGGGAAUUUUGGACAAUGGGCGAAAGCCUGAUCCAGCCAUGCCGCGUGCAGGAUGAAGGCCUUCGGGUUGUAAACUGCUUUUGUACGGAACGAAAAGACUCUUUCUAAUAAAGAGGGUCCAUGACGGUACCGUAAGAAUAAGCACCGGCUAACUACGUGCCAGCAGCCGCGGUAAUACGAAUCACUAGUGAAUUCGCGGCCGCCUGCAGGUCGACCAUAUGGGAGAGCUCCCAA